UACGAGUGCCCCAAGCGUUAUCCGGAAUCAUUGGGCGUAAAGGGUGUGUAGGCGGUUUGGUUAGUCUUCUGUCAAAUUCUUCGGCUCAACCGGGGGCUCGCAGAGGAAACGGCCAAACUAGAGGAUGUGAGAGGUGAAUGGAACUCAUGGUGUAGGGGUGAAAUCCGUUGAUAUCAUGGGGAACACCAAAUGCGAAGGCAAUUCACUGGCGCAUUCCUGACGCUGAAACACGAAAGCGUGGGUAGCGAAUGGG
rnacentral:rRNA from 1 species